UGGGGUAAAGCUCAGUGGUAGAGCAUUCGACUGCAGUUGGAAAGUUCCCCAGUUCAAACCUGGGCGCUCUUU
rnacentral:tRNA from 1 species